UGUGGGAGCGAGCCUGCUCGCGGCUCAGGCAACACGGUUUGCCUGAAGCACGGCACUGAUCCCAUCGCGAGCAGGCUCGCUCCCACA
rnacentral:misc_RNA from 1 species